rnacentral:misc_RNA from 1 species
GGUUUUUUAAAACUGAUUUGCCCAUGUGCGUGGAUCCACAAACUGAUGGUGUUUGAUCAAAAUUGUCAGGACCAAUUUCACAAUCUCUACGUCUAAGCAUGCCCUUUUCUCGUUUGACCUGAUCUCUAUGGUUUUUUCCUUUUAAGUGAACCGCCGCCCUAAAGAAUCGCCAGUCUCUCCCCUCUUCAGCCUCCAAUUGUUGAAUCAUUCAGGUAAGUUCUUCAUUUUAGCAGUCUUUUCGUGGAUCCUGUUAUUCAUGAGUCACAAAUUUCGGGUUCUCUUUUUGUGUUGUUUUUAUCAUUUGUUGUAUAUUUUAAGCCCGUACUUUUAUUAGGUUUAAUAAAUGUCAUUGGCUUAGAUCAGUGAUUUGGCUGCGACUAUGAUUCAUGGAACAUUGGUGGUUUAGAAUUUAGAUUAGAUCAAAUUUUUUUAUUUGGAUGCUUUUGUGGGUCAAUUAUGUCCUUGUUCAAGGCCUUUUAUAUUUGAUUUGCUGAAAAUAUUAUAAUUCUCAAAGUGGGUUUUAUUCUGGCAGAGAAUGAACCUAAAUUAUCUGAUAAGAAACGAUUAAAAAGAAAAAUGCUUGUAUUAAUCUCAACAAUACCAUUCUUUUUAUUUUAGUAUUUUUAUAGGCACUUGAUUGAUCAAGCAGCUCAUGUAAACAUAUCACCUUUGUUCUUCCUGUGCCAUGGAAAUGAAUAAUGAAAAUGGGAUUGUGGAGAUUUUUUUCUCCCUAUAUAGUUGGCUAUACAUCAGAUUCGACGUUGCGUGUCAAUACAGCUGCUGUGCUGCUAUUACAGCAUUGGAGAAUUUUUUAUUGGAAUUGCAUUUUCAUUUUCUACUUACUUUAUAGCAACUAAAGCAACUGCCUUUACACCCUGUUAGAAAGCAAACUGAACAAAGAAUUCAUUUAAUAUGAAAAAAUUCCAUGGCAUGUAUUUGCGAUUGAAUUUUCAUCUUCAGGUACCCUAUAUAUUAAUACAUAGAGCAAACUGAAUUCAGCUGAAGAUUGUGCUCGGAACAAAUGAAAAAUUGACAUCUUUAUUCCAUUAAUCCAAAAAUGCCCCACGUGCAUUGAGUGAGAGAGAUUGGUUGUUACUUUAGUCAGACAAAGAAGGGUAUUUAAGUUUAAUGAAUAUGCAGUUAAAGCGACUAUGAGGUUGCAAAUGAAUUUUUCUAGGUUACAUGUUGAGUAUGGAAUUGCAAAUGAGUUACAGAAAUUUUGUGGAGUUAUUUGUUCCAAAUAGGAGAUAAAUAUUUUUCCAGCAAUAAGAAGCAUAUGACUUAAGUUUCAUUUUUUUUCUUGAAGAAAUGUCAUUGUGUGUACUUAGUUAUCAUAUCAAAUGCAGAAAGAGUUAUGAAUUAUUUGAUGCACAUUGCUUUGCUAAGCCUUUUUAUAUUAUACUAAUGCACCCCAGAUGUAUGCUAAACUUGAGUUAUAGCCUCAUUUCUGGCAGUUUUUUGACUUUGUGCUUGUAAACCAUCAAGAAAUAGCUUGGAGAUUAAGAUAUAGAAUCCCAUUUGUCAAACGAUUUAUUUGUGGUGUUUUGUUUGUUCAAUAGGGGGCAAGGUUAGCAAGUCCUUUAGCCUGGUUGGAAAAGAAAGAAACUUAUUCUUAUUCCUCUUAUAUAAUUAUCUAAUAGAUUAUCCCUUGUGUAGAAUAAUAGCUCAGUUUUUGCUAUACGUGUUUGAAUUUUCUAUUUAUUGUCAAUUUUUUUCUUAAUAAAAAAAGGAGA